AGAGGUGUAAGUUAAGUUCUAAACUUUGUGGUUCAUGUUCACACAAUAUACUGUAUAGUGUCGUCUCUU
rnacentral:tRNA from 1 species